rnacentral:rRNA from 1 species
CAGCAGCCGCGGUAACACGUAGGUGGCAAGCGUUGUCCGGAAUUAUUGGGCGUAAAGCGCGCGCAGGUGGUUUAAUAAGUCUGAUGUGAAAGCCCACGGCUCAACCGUGGAGGGUCAUUGGAAACUGUUAAACUUGAGUGCAGGAGAGAAAAGCGGAAUUCCUAGUGUAGCGGUGAAAUGCGUAGAGAUUAGGAGGAACACCAGUGGCGAAGGCGGCUUUUUGGCCUGUAACUGACACUGAGGCGCGAAAGCGUGGGGAGCAAACAGGAUUAGAUACCCCUGUAGUCCCUGUCUCUUAUAC